CCUACGGGAGGCAGCAGUGAGGAAUAUUGGUCAAUGGACGAGAGUCUGAACCAGCCAAGUAGCGUGAAGGAUGACUGCCCUAUGGGUUGUAAACUUCUUUUAUAUGGGAAUAAAAUGUUCCAAGUGUGGGAUUUUGUAUGUACCAUAUGAAUAAGGAUCGGCUAACUCCGUGCCAGCAGCCGCGGUAAUACGGAGGAUCCGAGCGUUAUCCGGAUUUAUUGGGUUUAAAGGGAGCGUAGGUGGAUUGUUAAGUCAGUUGUGAAAGUGUGCGGCUCAACCGUAACAUUGCAGUUGAAACUGGCAGUCUGGAGUACAGGAGGGGUAGGCGGAAUUCGGGGUGUAGCGGUGAAAUGCUUAGAUAUCACGAAGAACUCCGAUUGCGAAGGCAGCUCACUGGACUGCAACUGACACUGAGGCUCGAAAGUGUGGGUAUCAAACAGGAUUAGAUACCCCAGUAGUC
rnacentral:rRNA from 1 species